rnacentral:rRNA from 1 species
CAGUCGCCACGGUAAUACGUAGGUGGCAAGCGUUGUCCGGAAUUAUUGGGCGUAAAGGGCUCGCAGGCGGUUUCUUAAGUCUGAUGUGAAAGCCCCCGGCUCAACCGGGGAGGGUCAUUGGAAACUGGGAAACUUGAGUGCAGAAGAGGAGAGUGGAAUUCCACGUGUAGCGGUGAAAUGCGUAGAGAUGUGGGGGAGCACCAGUGGCGAAGGCGACUACCUGGUCUGGCAUUGGCGCUAAUGUGCGAAAGCGUGGGGAGCAAACAGGAUUAGAGACCCCAGUAGUCCCUGUCUCUUAUAC